GAUGAACGCUAGCGGCAGGCUUAACACAUGCAAGUCGAGGGGUAUUGGUUUUCGGACCAAGAGACCGGCGCACGGGUGCGUAACGCGUAUGCAAUCUACCUUUUGCAGAGGGAUAGCCCAGAGAAAUUUGGAUUAAUACCUCAUAGUAUAGUACUUUGGCAUCAAGGAACUAUUAAAGUCACAACGGCAAAAGAUGAGCAUGCGUCCCAUUAGCUAGUUGGUAAGGUAACGGCUUACCAAGGCUACGAUGGGUAGGGGUCCGUGAGAGGGAGAUCCCCCACACUGGUACUGAGACACGGACCAGACUCCUACGGGAGGCAGCAGUGAGGAAUAUUGGACAAUGGGCGGCAAGCCUGAUCCAGCCACUGCCGCGUGCAGGAGUGACGGU
rnacentral:rRNA from 1 species